rnacentral:rRNA from 1 species
AAUAGAUACCCAGGUAGUCCACGCCGUAAACGAUGAGUGCUAAGUGUUAGAGGGUUUCCGCCCUUUAGUGCUGCAGCUAACGCAUUAAGCACUCCGCCUGGGGAGUACGGUCGCAAGACUGAAACUCAAAGGAAUUGACGGGGGCCCGCACAAGCGGUGGAGCAUGUGGUUUAAUUCGAAGCAACGCGAAGAACCUUACCAGGUCUUGACAUCCUCUGACAACUCUAGAGAUAGAGCGUUCCCCUUCGGGGGACAGAGUGACAGGUGGUGCAUGGUUGUCGUCAGCUCGUGUCGUGAGAUGUUGGGUUAAGUCCCGCAACGAGCGCAACCCUUGAUCUUAGUUGCCAGCAUUCAGUUAGGCACUCUAAGGUGACUGCCGGUGACAAACCGGAGGAAGGUGGGGAUGACGUCAAAUCAUCAUGCCCCUUAUGACCUGGGCUACACACGUGCUACAAUGGAUGGUACAAAGAGCUGCGAACCCGCGAGGGUAAGCGAAUCCCAUAAAGCCAUUCUCAGUUCGGAUUGUA